rnacentral:rRNA from 1 species
AUUGAACGCCGGCGGCAGGCUUAACACAUGCAAGUCGAGCGGAGAUGAGGUGCUUGCACCUUAUCUUAGCGGCGGACGGGUGAGUAAUGCUUAGGAAUCUGCCUAUUAGUGGGGGACAACAUUCCGAAAGGAAUGCUAAUACCGCAUACGUCCUACGGGAGAAAGCAGGGGAUCUUCGGACCUUGCGCUAAUAGAUGAGCCUAAGUCGGAUUAGCUAGUUGGUGGGGUAAAGGCCUACCAAGGUGACGAUCUGUAGCGGGUCUGAGAGGAUGAUCCGCCACACUGGGACUGAGACACGGCCCAGACUCCUACGGGAGGCAGCAGUGGGGAAUAUUGGACAAUGGGGGGAACCCUGAUCCAGCCAUGCCGCGUGUGUGAAGAAGGCCUUAUGGUUGUAAAGCACUUUAAGCGAGGAGGAGGCUACUGAGACUAAUACUCUUGGAUAGUGGACGUUACUCGCAGAAUAAGCACCGGCUAACUCUGUGCCAGCAGCCGCAGUAAGAC